ACAAAUAAGCCAAGGCACGUGAGAAGAAAUAACAAUGAAAAUAACUUUUGCGUAUAGAAACAUGGCGUAAACCAGUUGAACGAACAUUUUGAACUGCAGUUGCUGUGAAUACGAAGAACUUAACGAUUCUCGAUAUCACCAUUUCAGAUCGGUUUAUACACGAGUUUCAUUCAUUCUAAUAUCAUUCAGUAGCUUCGAUCAAGAUCGAUAUCAACGAUAUACAAAAAGACUUAAAACCGUUCAAAUAUUGGCAUAAGUUAUAGAUCCACUGCAAUCACUCAGCUGCUUCUUAAAUGAACGAACUUAUCUUCAACAAACGAAUGGAAAUUUCAGUGACGUUCUCAUUAGGGAAACAUACAGGUUCUGGGAUAAUAUGUACGUAAAGAAUUAUGAACGUACGUGUAUGUUUGUAUGCGUGAUAAAUGAUAUAUUGGUUUUGAUUAAACACAUAUAAUAAAUAUGCUUGUAUCUUCGAAGAAAUUCUUUAUUUAAAUAAAAAGUAAUAAAUAUUAGCAAAUAUGAAAGUUGAGAGAAAAAAUAAACUCCGCAAUGCCAAUUGAUAGAAAUUAAUAAAUAUAUUCCAUAUCAAAAAUAUAAUUCAUCCUAAGCAUCAUGCGUGAAUUAAAAUAAUACUCGUAGGACUCCAACCCCAAGUUUCCGAAUCACAACAUACACCAUAUGAUAGAUCAGUUACAAUCGAUAUAUACAAGCGGGUUGCAUUCAAACUAAUCGAUUACAUAUUAUUCUUCGAACAAAAAUACUUUUUCAACGUUAUCAGAUCAAUUUACUUCAGUACAAUUAACAACGAUUUACUUAUUAUUAAUUACUCUUCCAUUCUCACGCAUGUUGGUCUCACCAACUUUUUCAACGCUACUAAUUUCUCUAAGUUACAAAAUUAUCGAAGACAUUCAACACCAUUCUUCG